rnacentral:rRNA from 1 species
UACGUAGGGGCAAGCGUUGUCCGGAAUCAUUGGGCGUAAAGCGCGUGUAGGCGGCUCAGUAAGUCCGCUCUGAAACGCCCGGGGCUCGAACCCCGGGAGGCGGUGGAUGACUGCUGAGGCUCGAGUCCGGAAGAGGAGUGUGGAAUUCCUGGUGUAGCGGUGAAAUGACGCAGAUAUCAGGAGGAACACCAAUGGGCGAAGGCAGCACUCUGGGACGGUACUGGACGCUGAGACGGCGAAAGCCGUGGGGAGCAAACAGG